rnacentral:rRNA from 1 species
AGAGUUUGAUCCUGGCUCAGGAUGAACGCUAGCGGCAGGCUUAACACAUGCAAGUCGAGGGGCAUCGGGAGGGAAGCUUGCUUUCCUUACCGGCGACCGGCGCACGGGUGAGUAACACGUAUGCAACCUGCCCUCUUCAGGGGGACAACCUUCCGAAAGGGAGGCUAAUCCCGCGUAUAUCGGUUUCGGGCAUCCGAGAUCGAGGAAAGAUUCAUCGGAAGAGGAUGGGCAUGCGGCGCAUUAGCUAGACGGCGGGGUAACGGCCCACCGUGGCGACGAUGCGUAGGGGUUCUGAGAGGAAGGUCCCCCACACUGGUACUGAGACACGGACCAGACUCCUACGGGAGGCAGCAGUGAGGAAUAUUGGUCAAUGGGAGAGAUCCUGAACCAGCCAAGCCGCGUGAGGGAAGACGGCCCUAUGGGUUGUAAACCUCUUUUGUCGGAGAACAAAACCCGGGACGUGUCCCGGACUGCGUGUAUCCGAAGAAAAAGCAUCGGCUAACUCCGUGCCAGCAGCCGCGGUAAUACGGAGGAUGCGAGCGUUAUCCGGAUUUAUUGGGUUUAAAGGGUGCGUAGGCGGUCCGUUAAGUCAGCGGUAAAAUUGCGGGGCUCAACCCCGUCGGGCCGUUGAAACUGGCAGACUUGAGUUGGCGAGAAGUACGCGGAAUGCGCGGUGUAGCGGUGAAAUGCAUAGAUAUCGCGCAGAACUCCGAUUGCGAAGGCAGCGUACCGGCGCCAGACUGACGCUGAGGCACGAAAGCGUGGGGAUCGAACAGGAUUAGAUACCCUGGUAGUCCACGCAGUAAACGAUGAAUGCUGGUUGUCCGGGUCGAAUGAGACCUGGGCGGCGAAGCGAAAGCGAUAAGCAUUCCACCUGGGGAGUACGCCGGCAACGGUGAAACUCAAAGGAAUUGACGGGGGCCCGCACAAGCGGAGGAACGUGUGGUUUAAUUCGAUGAUACGCGAGGAACCUUACCCGGGCUCAAACGGGAGUGGAAUGGACCAGAGACGGUUCAGCCUACGGGCCGCUUCCGAGGUGCUGCAUGGUUGUCGUCAGCUCGUGCCGUGAGGUGUCGGCUUAAGUGCCAUAACGAGCGCAACCCCCGCCGGCAGUUGCUAACGGGCAAUGCCGAGGACUCUGCCGGGACUGCCGCCGCAAGGCGUGAGGAAGGCGGGGAUGACGUCAAAUCAGCACGGCCCUUACGUCCGGGGCGACACACGUGUUACAAUGGGCGGUACAGCGGGAAGCCAGGCGGCGACGCCGAGCGGAACCCGAAAGCCGUUCUCAGUUCGGAUCGGAGUCUGCAACCCGACUCCGUGAAGCUGGAUUCGCUAGUAAUCGCGCAUCAGCCAUGGCGCGGUGAAUACGUUCCCGGGCCUUGUACUCACCGCCCGUCAAG